CUUGGUCAUUUAGAGGAAGUAAAAGUCGUAACAAGGUUUCCGUAGGUGAACCUGCGGAAGGAUCAUUAGUGAGUAAGGGUCUUCCAGGCCCGACCUCCAACCCUUUGUUUAAUUACCAUGUUGCUUUGGCGGGCCCGUCUUUAACCGGACCGUCGGAGGGUUUUACCUCUGGCCAGUGCCCGUCAGUAGCCCACUACAAAUACCUUUUUAACCAUGUUAUAUCUGAAAAUAGUUAAAUAAACUAAAACUUUCAACAACGGAUCUCUUGGUUCUGGCAUCGAUGAAGAACGCAGCGAAAUGCGAUAAGUAAUGCGAGUUAAGAAUUAGAACUUUCAACAAAGGAUCUCUUGGUUCUGGCAUCGAUGAAGAACGCAGCGAAAUGCGAUAAGUAAUGCGAAUUGCAGAAUUCAGUGAGUCAUCGAAUCUUUGAACGCACAUUGCGCCCUUUAGUAUUCUGAAGGGCAUGCCUGUUCGAGCGUCAUUAUCACUAAUCAAGCCUGGCUUGCUGUUGGACCUCUUGUCGUUAAAAAUCGACAGGCCCUAAAGAUAAUGGCGGCGUUUUUUGGACCCUAGAUGCAACGAGCUUUCAUUAGCACACGUUUAGUUGGGACCUUUUAACCCGGUCUUUUUUAAACCAAUUUUCUAAGGUUGACCUCGGAUCAGGUAGGAAUACCCGCUGAACUUAAGCAUAUCAAUAAGCGGAGGAAAAGAAACCAACAGGGAUUACCUCAGUAACGGCGAGUGAAGCGGUAAUAGCUCAAAUUUGAAAUCUGGCUCUUUCAGGGUCCGAGUUGUAAUUUGGAGAGGAUGUUUCGGGCACGACUACGGUUUAAAUUUCUUGGAACAGAAUGUCAUAGAGGGUGAGAGUCCCGUCUUGAACCGAUUGCUUCGUCCAUGUGAAACUCCUUCGACGAGUCGAGUUGUUUGGGAAUGCAGCUCAAAAUGGGUGGUAAAUUUCAUCUAAAGCUAAAUAUUGGCCAGAGACCGAUAGCGCACAAGUAGAGUGAUCGAAAGAUGAAAAGCACUUUGAAAAGAGAGUUAAACAGUAUGUGAAAUUGUUGAAAGGGAAGCGCUUGUAAUCAGACUUGAGCUCAACAGUUCCCCCUUCGUUCUCGUUGGGUUAUUCUGUUUUGUCCAGGCCAACAUCAGUUCGAGUGGUUGGUUAAAGACUCUGGGAAUGUAUCUACCCUUCGGGGUCGACUUAUAGCCUAGAGUGUCAUGCAGCCUACUUGGACUGAGGAACGCGCUUCGGCUCGGAUGUUGGCGUAAUGGUUAUAAGCGACCCGUCUUGAAACACGGACC
rnacentral:rRNA from 1 species